GAUGAAGAACGCAGCGAAAUGCGAUAAGUAAUGCGAAUUGCAGAAUUCCAGUGAGUCAUCGAAUCUUUGAACGCACAUUGCGCCCUUUGGCAUUCCGAAGGGCAUGCCUGUUCGAGCGUCAUUAUCACCCCUCAAGCCCCCCUGGCUUGGUGUUGGACGGUUUUGGUGGGACGCGCAGCCUCUCACCCCUCCUAAAGACAAUGACGGCGGCGUCGUUGGAACCCCCGGUACACUGAGCUUCUUAACUGAGCACGUACUGGAUGCGGGUACGCGAUGCACGGUCUGCCUCCCCUUUAGGGAGAACUUUUUCUUAAGGUUGACCUCGGAUCAGGUAGGAAUACCCGCUGAACUUAAGCAUAUCAAUAAGCGGAGGA
rnacentral:misc_RNA from 1 species